GGCAGACGGCUCAGUAACGCGUAGUCAACCUAACCUAUGGACGGGAAUAACCUCGGGAAACUGAGUAUAAUGCCCGAUAGAACAUUAUACCUGGAAUGGUUUAUGUUCCAAAUGAUUUAUCGCCGUAGGAUGGGACUGCGGCCUAUCAGUUUGUUGGUGAGGUAAUGGCCCACCAAGACUAUUACAGGUACGGGCUCUGAGAGGAGUAGCCCGGAGAUGGGUACUGAGACACGGACCCAGGCCCUAUGGGGCGCAGCAGGCGAGAAAACUUUGCAAUGUGCGAAAGCACGACAAGGUUAAUCCGAGUGGUUUCUGCUAAGGGAACCUUUUGUCGGUCCUAGAAACACCGAUGAAUAAGGGGUGGGCAAGUUCUGGUGUCAGCCGCCGCGGUAAAACCAGCACCUCAAGUGGUCAGGAUGAUUAUUGGGCCUAAAGCAUCCGUAGCCGGCUCUGUUAGUUUUCGGUUAAAUCUGUACGCUCAACGUACAGGCUGCCGGGAAUACUGCAGAGCUAGGGAGUGGGAGAGGUAGACGGUACUCGGUAGGAAGGGGUAAAAUCCUUUGAUCUAUUGAUGACCACCUGUGGCGAAGGCGGUCUACCAGAACACGUCCGACGGUGAGGGAUGAAAGCUGGGGGAGCAAACCGGAUUAGAUACCCGGGUAGUCCCAGCUGUAAACUAUGCAAACUCAGUGAUGCAUUGGCUUGUGGCCAAUGCAGUGCUGCAGGAAGCCGUUAAGUUUGCCGCUGGGAAGUACGUACGCAAGUAUGAAACUUAAAGGAAUUGGCGGGGGAGCACCACAAGGGGUGAAGCCUGCGGUUCAAUUGGAGU
rnacentral:rRNA from 1 species